ACACGUGGACAAAGAGAAGCAUA
rnacentral:siRNA from 1 species